UGUGUAGGCGGUUUGGUAAGUCUGGUGUGAAAUCUCCCGGCUCAACUGGGAGGGUGCGCCGGAAACUGCCGGACUCGAGUGCGGGAGAGGAGAGUGGAAUUCCUGGUGUAGCGGUGAAAUGCGUAAAUAUCAGGAGGAGCACCGGCGGUGUAGACGGCUCUCUGGACCGUAACUGACGCUGAAACACGAAAGCGUGGGUAGCAAACAGGAUUAGAUACCCUGGUAGUCCACGCCCUAAACGAUGCAUAUUUGGUGUGGGUCAUUCAGUUGAUCCGUGCCGGAGCUAACGCGUUAAAUAUGCCGCCUGGGGAGUACAGUCGCAAGGCUGAA
rnacentral:rRNA from 1 species